rnacentral:rRNA from 1 species
GAAUGAAUGGCUAAAUGAAGACCCAACUGUCUCUUGCAGCUUACCAAUGAAACUGAUCUCUUAGUUCAAAAGCUAAGAUUUCCCCACAAGACGAGAAGACCCUGUGGAGCUAUUAAACCAAACUCACUCACAAAAUGACCCCUUGGUUUUCAGUUGGGGCGACUUCGGAGCAUAAAAAACCCUCCGACACAAAACCAAUAAACCUAGAUGGACACAUCAAAUACUCCAAGACCCAGUAGUUUAUCUUCAAACUACCUGAUCAAUGAACCAAGUUACCCCAGGGAUAACAGCGCCAUCCUCUCUUAGAGUCCCUAUCGACGAGAGGGAUUACGACCUCGAUGUUGGAUCAGGACA